UACGUAGGGGCAAGCGUUGUCCGGAAUCAUUGGGCGUAAAGAGCGUGUAGGCGGCCCGAUAAGUUCGCUGUGAAAGUCCAGGGCUCAACCCUGGAAAGCGGGUGGAUACUGCCGGGCUAGAAUCCGGAAGAGGCGAGUGGAAUUCCUGGUGUAGCGGUGGAAUGCGCAGAUAUCAGGAGGAACACCAAUAGCGAAGGCAGCUCGCUGGGACGGUAUUGACGCUAAGGCGCGAAAGCGUGGGGAGCAAACAGGG
rnacentral:rRNA from 1 species